rnacentral:misc_RNA from 1 species
AAAAGAAAGUUGCUGACUUGGUAUUGCAUACUACCACAGAUGUUGUCAGUGCUCAUACGUCACAACUUGCUCGGAUUACAAGUACAAGAGAAGAAAUGGUGGGUUUUGAUGAGGUAGUGCAAACACUAAAGGGGAAGCUAAUCAGAGGAUCAUCAGAAUUGGAUCUUAUCUCAAUUGUUGGAAUGGCCGGAUUGGGUAAGACAACUCUCGCUAACAAGCUAUUUCUUGAUCAGUUUGUUGUAUCUCAUUUUGAUGUCCGUGCACAAUGUUGUGUAUCUCA